CUUCCCCAUUGUUCUGCCACUCGCCAAUGAGGAGCAGUUUGAUGAGGCUGAAGCUGCACUGAAGGAGGAAUUAGUCCUUCGAAAUAUGAUUACCCGCUUGGCAUUAGUCGGAGGGACCAAUGCCGAAAAUAUGAUCCGGCGAAUGCUAUCCGCUACCAUGGCAAACCGUGUAGCAUGCAUCUUCAACUGGGCGGGAAAGGGACCGAAGAGGGCCUUCAAGGACACGUUAAUGCAGGACUGCAUGUUUGUUGACAGAAUUGCAGUACAGGGGUGCCCUGCAGAAGUGGCUGCGUUACGCACCGGAGAGGAGUGGCGGGGUACCAAGAAAAGGCAAA